rnacentral:misc_RNA from 1 species
CUGAGUUUACAAACUCCCAAACCCAAUUGUGAACCGUACCUAAUCGUUGCCUUCGGCGGGCGAGGCCCACAGCCGGGCCUCGCGUCCCAAGCCCCCGGGGAACAGGCAGCCCGCCAGGAGGCGUAACCAAAACUAUAUCAUAGUAGUCCCCUCGCGGACGUAUUCUUACAGCUCUGAGCAAAAAUUCAAAAUGAAUCA